AUAUAAGACUCAUUGUUUUAAACAUUAUUAUUAAUAUCGAUGCCAAAUCAUGCCAUCGUUUUCACUUUAGACUGCAUUCAUGCCGUGCGAGAAUUUGUUGUAGCAAUAGCAAUUACUGUGAAUGGUCAAUUCUGCCAAACCCAUAUUCAUUUCAUUCAUUAUACCUUUUAAAUAUAUUAUAUCAUAAAUCAGUUCAGGAAACUUAUUUUAAUCUCUAAAUGACUUCUUGAUUAUAUUAUAUUGAAUCAACACCCACCCACAAAGCAAUGAUGGCUUAAUAAAUUUGAUUAUGUUACUUAGAUGAAUACACUGUAGUUGUGAACGCAAAUAUUAAAUGCUGCAGAAAUAAUCAGCUGUCACCAGAAAUAUGGCAAAAAUAUAUGUGGAUUUGUGGAGGAUUUAUGGCAGUCAUUUAGGUUUACAGUUGCAGGAGCUGGGGAAGAAACGCAAGGCUGAUGAAAAAUAGUCUGUCAAUCUGUCUGCCUUGGGUAGAAUCUCAAACCCAGGAAUCUAACGCCUCUCUUUGUCUUUCUCUGUCUGUCUCUUUCUAUCACACUCAGUACUGCAGGGAGUUAUCCAGCAUCAAAUUAGUUGCAGCUUUCACAAGGAGGUGAGGACAGGACAGAUAGAGUGGAGAGUAAGAAGAGGGUAAAAGGGCAUGACUCAUCUGGAUGUUUUAUAAUUUCCUGAUUUAUAUUCUCUAUAGAUUAAUGUAGAUAAAGAGCAAAGUAAAAUAACUUCUAAGCUGUGACGUAAUUGAGAAAAGAGUUGUGAAAGUUACUAUACCUCAACACACUGAACCCUUUGGGAAAUACUGUAAUAAGUGAUGUGGAGCACUAUAUAAAAAUCUUAACAACU